rnacentral:rRNA from 1 species
GAUGAACGCUGGCGGCGUGCCUAAUACAUGCAAGUCGAGCGAACGGACGAGAAGCUUGCUUCUCUGAUGUUAGCGGCGGACGGGUGAGUAACACGUGGAUAACCUACCUAUAAGACUGGGAUAACUUCGGGAAACCGGAGCUAAUACCGGAUGAUAUUUUGAACCGCAUGGUUCAAAAGUGAAAGACGGUCUUGCUGUCACUUAUAGAUGGAUCCGCGCUGCAUUAGCUAGUUGGUAAGGUAACGGCUUACCAAGGAAACGAUGCAUAGCCGACCUGAGAGGGUGAUCGGCCACACUGGAACUGAGACACGGUCCAGACUCCUACGGGAGGCAGCAGUAGGGAAUCUUCCGCAAUGGGCGAAAGCCUGACGGAGCAACGCCGCGUGAGUGAUGAAGGUCUUCGGAUCGUAAAACUCUGUUAUUAGGGAAGAACUUAUGUGUAAGUAACUGUGCACAUCUUGACGGUACCUAAUCAGAAAGCCACGGCUAACUACGUG